UACGUAGGGGGCAAGCGUUGUCCGGAUUUAUUGGGCGUAAAGAGCGUGUAGGCGGCCAGGUAGGUCAGCUGUGAAAACUCGAGGCUCAACCUCGAGAUGUCGGCUGAAACCAUCUGGCUAGAGUCCGGAAGAGGAGAAUGGAAUUCCCGGUGUAGCGGUGAAAUGCGCAGAUAUCGGGAAGAACACCCGUGGCGAAGGCGGUUCUCUGGGACGGUACUGACGCUGAGACGCGAAAGCGUGGGGAGCGAAC
rnacentral:rRNA from 1 species